rnacentral:rRNA from 1 species
UACGGAGGAUGCGAGCGUUAUCCGGAUUUAUUGGGUUUAAAGGGUGCGUAGGCGGCCUGUUAAGUCAGCGGUAAAAGCCCGGGGCUCAACCCCGGCGAGCCGUUGAAACUGGCUGGCUGGAGUUGGCGAGAGGUAUGCGGAAUGCGCGGUGUAGCGGUGAAAUGCUUAGAUAUCGCGCAGAACUCCGAUUGCGAAGGCAGCAUGCCGGCGCCACACUGACGCUGAGGCACGAAAGCGUGGGGAUCAAA